CUAGGAGAACCGAAAACAGUUCUAGACUGACCUGCGGUUUUAUGGCACUUUGGCAGUCAACUUCAGCUUGUGUCAGAGCAGACAUGACAAAGCUACCCAACGCUUAAUCGCAGGACGCCACCUCCUCGGACUCAGGGCAGCCCCCCCUCUCGCAUUUCAAUAAAUUUCAAACCUUGGGGAGCAGAGCUG
rnacentral:lncRNA from 1 species